rnacentral:rRNA from 1 species
CCUACGGGGGGCAGCAGUGGGGAAUAGUGGGCAAUGGGCGCAAGCCUGACCCAGCAAUGCCGCGUGAAGGAAGAAGGCUUUCGGGUGGUAAACUUCUUGGACAGGGGAAGAGCAGAAGACGGGACCCGGAAAACAAGCCAAGGCUAACUACGUGCCAACAGCCGCGGUAAUACGUAGGUGGCAAGCGUUGUCCGGAUUUACUGGGUGUAAAGGGCGUGUAGCCGGGAAGGAAAGUCAGAUGUGAAAUCUGGAGGCUCAACCUCCAAAUUGAAUUUGAAACGGUUUUUCUUGAGUACUGGAGCGGCAGCCGGACUUCCUUGUGUAGCGGUGACAUGCGUCGAUAUAAG